UACAGAGGGGGCAAAGCGUUUAUUCGGAAUUAUUGGGCGUAAAGGGCGCGUAGGCGGCCUGGCAAGUGGAAGGUGAAAUCCCUCGGCUUAACCGAGGAACUGCCUCCCAAACUGCUUGGGCUUGAGACCAGGAGGAGGUGAGGUGGAAUUCCCAGUGUAGCGGUGAAAUGCGUAGAUAUUGGGAGGAACACCAGUGGCGAAGGCGGCUCACUGGACUGGUACUGACGCUGAGGCGCGAAAGCGUGGGGAGCGGAACAGG
rnacentral:rRNA from 1 species